GAACCGUACAAACGUUAUUCGGAAUUACUGGGCUUAAAGGGUGCGUAGGCGGUGUGGGAAAGUUGGGGUGUGAAAUCCCUCGGGCUCAACCGAGGAACUGCGCUCAAAACUGCCAUGCUAGAGGGAGACAGAGGUGAGCGGAACUUAAGGUGGAGCGGUGAAAUGCGUUGAUAUCUUAAGGAACACCGGUGGCGAAAGCGGCUCACUGGGUCUCUUCUGACGCUGAGGCACGAAAGCUAGGGUAGCGAACGGGAUUAGAUACCCCGGUAGUCCUAGCUGUAAACGAUGAGCACUUGGUCGGAGGGCCUUCCAUAGCCCUCCGGCCGUAGCGAAAGUGUUAAGUGCUCCGCCUGGGGAGUAUGGUCGCAAAGGCUG
rnacentral:rRNA from 1 species